UGUAUCUCAGUGGUAGAGUGCUUGCCUCACUUGCAUGAGACCCUAGGUUUGAUUCCUAGCA
rnacentral:tRNA from 1 species